GAUGAACGCUGGCGGCGUGCCUAAUACAUGCAAGUCGAGCGAAUGGAUUAAGAGCUUGCUCUUAUGAAGUUAGCGGCGGACGGGUGAGUAACACGUGGGUAACCUGCCCAUACGACUGGGAUAACUCCGGGAAACCGGGUCUAAUACCGGAUAACAUUUUGAACCGCAUGGUUCGAAAUUGAAAGGCGGCUUCGGCUGUCACUUAUGGAUUGACCCGCGUCGCAUUACCUAGUUGGGGAGGUUACGGCGCACCAAGGCAACGAUGCGUAGCCGACCGGAGAGGGUAAUCGGCCACACUGGGACGGAGACACGGCCCAGACUCCUACGGGAGGCAGCAGUAGGGAAUCUUCCGAAAUGGACGAAAGUCUGACGGAGCAACGCCGCGUGAGUGAUGAAGGCUUUCGGGUCGUAAAACUCUGUUGUUAGGGAAGAACAAGUGCUAGUUGAAUAAGCUGACACCUUGACGGUACCUAACCAGAAAGCCACGGCUAACUACGUGCCAGCCGCCGCAGUAA
rnacentral:rRNA from 1 species